CCUUGUCAGUCGGUUGAGCGUUUAAACCCGUCUGCCCGCCUACUGCCCGACCUCUGCUGCCUAUCGCCUUAGUACCUGUCUGGACCGGAGUAAUCAUCUUUAUCGGCAGCCCUCACCACAGAACGCUGCUGCUGUUUUCAGGAGGCCACGCUGCCCGGAACCGACUCCAGCGGGUCCAGAUCGCUGUACCAAAUCCGUCAAGCCAAGCAGUGGGGAACAGCCGCAUGGGAGAGCAAUGCUGCCAUCUGCGGGUCAUUCCAGGAAUUCUCUGAGGAAUUAAAGAGGGUUUUUGAUCCAGUUCGCCCUGAACGAGAGGCAGCUCGGGGACUGUCUGAAAGAAUCAAGGAUGAGUUGGCGGCCAGAGAUCCGCCCAGAUCGCUCCAAGCCCUGGAACAACUGGAUACCCGGAUUGACCUGCGGCUCAGGGAACGGAGGAGAGAGAGACUGAGUUACGUCCCCCUCCGUACCCCC